GAGAGAAAGGGGAAUUGUAUGUCUGUGCCUGCUGGGCUUGGGUUUAAAAAAAGGGGGGGGGAACGUGUAACUUUUAAAUAACUCUUCUAGGAGGAGGGAGUGUGCUAGGAUCAAAGAGUUAACUGUUCCUGUGGGACAGGAGUCUUAAUAAAUUCUGGACUGUGCCAAGGGUUCCAUCCAUCCCAAAUGAAGGAGCGUAAAUUCCCCCGUGAGAUCAAAUAAAAUUGAUUUAACUUUGCAACGUUUAGCUUCAAGUUAAAAUUUAAGUGUGCAGCAGAUGAUGUUAAAAUUAUAGUCCCUCUUCAGCACGACCUCUUUUGAUACAGUUUUAAAUGCUUUUAAAAUGGGAUGUGUCGUUUAUUUAGUAACAUAGCAGUUGAUAUCCUUAGAUUGGGAUUUCAUCAUGCACUUUAAUUUUCUAGGGCAUUGGGGAUGACCAUAAUUGCUGAACAAUUCAAUGGAGUGGAAUGGGCUAAGUCAGCACUUUUUAUUGCAUUUUUCCACAUAAUAUCUGAAAUCUUCUUUCUCAUUGCAGUGUGUUUAUGAAAGCAAGGCAUUUAACCCUCACAUUUCCUGGGCUUGAAUAAUUUUCUUAAUAAGGCAUAAAACGUUUGCAAAUUUGCAUGUCAUUGUGAAGGAGGUAACUCUGUUUAGCAUGUCGGGGAUCAGGUCCUCUUGUCUGGUGCUUGACAACCUUCAGGGGAUCCUCAAGGAAAGCCAGUGUUUCCAAAGACCCUCUUUCUUCUCAAGUUUUUGUCUUCUCUCAGGCAAAGGCAAAACAUCUGCUGUGCUAGGCCAGUCUUAAGUUUAGUCUUGGAGUCUCAAAAAUGAACAGUGGAGAGGUCUGGAUAACAUUGAUGUUUCUGGGUUUGCCCAGCUGGAACUUUAAAAAUCCUAAAAGCCACCAAAAUUUCUGCUCUUUCCCUUGAUUGUCCUGGAUUAUCAGGCUGGAGAAAUGGAAUGGGUGGCUAUGUUCCAGUGCUAUUGAAUGUUGUGUGAACUUACUGAUACCAGCCUUUUCACUCUGGUAGCCUAUUCUGAUUUCUAGAAUUCUCCAGGGACCCUCCCAGCAUGUCAGAAACCAAGCACCCUGUCUGCAGGGUCAGCCCCGAUGCUAGAGAAGCUAGAAGAAAAAAAAAAUCAUGCUGUCUCAUCCCUUCCGCACUGUUAGUUGACUCACUCUGUGACUUUUAUUGCCAGAUCCAAAACUUGAUGGCCGACCUGACUAAGGUCACCAGCCCCACACAGCUAUUUAAAAAAAUUGAAAUCACUUGGCAUUUUCAGUUCUUGCCAUUUGCGAGUUUUUUCGAACAUUCUGAUGAGCAAUUCUCAAAAAUGUAUCGCCUCCAAAUGGGAAGUGCCACAGCAAAACUGAAAGUGGCACUUCAAGUGACUGGAAUCAGUCGACACUGGUGUGGUAGCUGGUAUCCAGCAUACCUGAUGUUAAAACCAGAGACGAGGGGUCUCCCAUGUCUUCUGGGCCAGUUUGUUACGCAACCUUAAGGAAUGUCUAAGGGGGGGGGGGUGGGUUUUCACGUAUGGAGAGGCUUUGAAAUGUGAACAGCUAACUUGCCGUAAUUCAUAAAAAGUUUGCCAUGAGUCAGUGACUGUAGAUAUUGUCACAUUGUGUGAACAAACAGCCUGAUUGUAAUGAUGUGGCAUUUCCUGUCCUUGUCUUCAGUAGACGAUCCGAUGUCAGGUUGCAGUUGUCUGCUGUUUUAGCUCUUCUACUUGAACCUGAAAAGGGAAACUGAUGUAAUUUCUUGAAACUCUGAAUCGCAAAGCUGGGGAGUGGCGAAUGGUACGGUAAUAACAGGAAUAGCUGAAAUUUAUUGUGAAUCUACUCUGCGCGCUGCUCUGAGAGACAACCCUGUGAGGAAGGUACUAUUGUUCUCUCACUGCGAAGUUUAGGAAGUGAGGCACGGGAAGAUAAGCCAAGUGUCCAUGGUCGUCCAGCGGUUGGUGGAGGAGGAGGCUGGGUUUAGCCAUAGCUGUCUUCAUCCAGCCUUGGGCUCCGCCAGGGGGAGGAGAAGUCAUCACUGCCUUCCCGGGCACCCAGACACAUUAGACACCACACACUGGAGUCGGGGGAGAGAGAUUGGAUUUCUUGAAGCCAUGUCAAACCCCAGUCUCUAUUAUGCCUUAAAAAAAAAAAUCCAUCUCUUCCCAUCUCUUUUUGCAAUUUAGAACACACACUUCAGUUUUUAAGAACAGAUUAUUUGAGGGGUGCUUGGGUGACUCAGUUGGUUCAGUGUCCAACUCUUGAUUUCCGCGCAGGUUCUGAUCUCAUUGUUCGUGGGACCGAGCUCCAUGCUGAUAGUGCGGAGCCUGCUUGGGAUUGUCUCUCUCCCCCUUUCUCUGCCCCUCUCCUGCUUGUGCUCUCUCUCACUCUCUCAAAAUAAAUUCAUAAACUUUAAAAAAAGAAUAGAUUAUUUUAUUGGAAAAGCAUAAUAGCCACACUGAGCUUACCACACAUCAGAAAUUAUUUAAAGUACUUUACAUUUAUUAUUCAUUUUAUUCUCAACUGUAUGAAGUGGAUAGUAUUUUUAUCACCAUUUUACAGAUGAGCAAACUGAAGCAAAGAUAGGGCAUGUCACUAAUUUAAAGUUGCCUAGUUAAGGGGAUGCAGAGAUAGACGCACACCCAGGCAGUCUGGUCCCAUGGCCCACGGUCUUGACACUACUUUCUCUGUCUCCAAUGAGCUGAGGGCUAUUCAAUGAGAUUCAAGCUUCAGGAAAAUAAUUUGGGCUGAGUUCUAUCACAGCUGAUAGUGGAAUUGGCCGUUUCGUCACUACUGUGAGCAGCACUGUCUGUGUUCCCUCUGCUGUUACAGCAGCACAUUCCAGGACAGACCCCAGGGGGAGGGUCUGCGAAGGCCUGAGUUACCCCCAAGCAGCUGAGACUGGGUGAUUUCUAACCCUUACUUCUCUAUGCCCUGGUUCUCUUGCCUCAGAACCAAGGCCUGACAACAAUGGCCUCUUUUAUUUGUGGUGUUUUCCAAAGCAAUCUCGCACGCAUUUCCUCGUGUGAUAGGAGUCUCACCAAGGUUCUGUGGGCAUGUGAUUGUGCAAGAACCGUCUUCAAGAAUUGUGAACCAAAAGGGCGGGACCCAAAACCUGGUUUUUUGAUUCUAAGCCAAAACACGUUUAAACCAUAUCCCUGAUUCUGUCUCCGGUAGAGACAACAUCUAAGAACAAGUUUCCCUGUCAUGUUGCAGUUUCUGUGGUAGAUUGUGACCCCUUUUUCUUACAGCGGGUCUGUAUGCAGCGGUCUGACUGGCCACGGGAACUGGCUGAAGACCACUCACGUGCUCACGCUGUAUUCUGUGCUCGGAUCCACCUGUCGUGGUGGACACCUUACAGCAACAGAUAUGAAAUUGACCAGCAAGGGCACAAUCGACAAUAAAGAGCCUAAAGAGAGAGUUCCUGGACCUGAGCUGGAAGCGGUGGUGCCCAGAAAGCACACGUGCCGAUUGGACAAUUAGACAAAGAGUCGAACUCCCAUCCAACUGGAGUAAUUCAUCAAGGAUUUUUGAUGGCAGCUCUGAGAGUUUCCGAGGUUACUGUAGAAAUCCUGUCGCUCCUUUUAAUAUGCCUGACUUCAUGGAAGGGGAGAAGAAGUGCCAAAGAGGAAACAGGAGGCAAGAGGAGGUAGUGAACCAACAACAGAAAACAAGGGGAGGACAGUACUUCACAUCUCUUCUGAAGAGAUCAUUUUAUUUUAAGUUCUCCCAGAAAUUAUAUCAGAACAAUUUUUUUCCUGAAAUAAUAUAUACAGCUAUUAAUAGCAUAGUAUUCCCUAUUAGCUUCCACUCUUACCAGCAUAGGGAAGGCAAUUCCCUCAAUAUUGACUGAGAGCCCCUGUGUUAGGUGCUGAGGUACAAAAUGAAACCAAGGAGUCCUGAGGACCCGGUGGCAGAACCGUGUAAAAUAUGGUUUCUCUGAACAUGACCCCUCUGGUCAGAGGUGGGUCGGCCAGGGCUUUGUCUGUUCAAAGCCAAGCCCAGCCACAUGGGAUAGAGAUCGGAUGUGCUGGGGCGGACCAGGGGCCAAGAUAACCAGGGAUCUGGCUUUGAAUCACUCUGGUAUUCGAGCUUUUUUUCCCUGAAGAAAAAUGAGAAAAUACUGGUCAUGUGGCUGUUGAGUAUUUUUCAAUAAGCAAGCCUUAUUUUUAUCAUGUUGUGAAAUGCUUGUCCCCGAGAGCUCUCUUUAGGUGCAUGGUAAGUGCUGCUAUACCAAUCGGAUGCCCUCAUGCCAAGAGGCUGGCAUUUUGAUUUUUGUGGGCCCUAAGCACUUUUACCUCUGUUGACCUCUUCCCCUCAAAAACGAAAAAAACAGAUUAAAAGUUAUAUUUUCAAAUUUUAUUUUUUAAAUUAUAUCUUAUAACUGCAUUUGUGGAAAGAUGCAUAUUAUGUAUAAAUUUUACAUUAAUAUUAUAUAUAAAACAUUUUUCAUCCUAAAAGUGGAUAUUUUUGCCUCCUGAAUUGAAAAGAACUUACAACAUUUCUGUGGGUCCCUAACGUCUCGUGGUCCUAGCGAUGACCUGCUAUGCCUCAUGUGGAAGUUGGUCCCAGAUGCCACCCUAAGCCUCCCUGCCACAUUAACGCCUCCACUGGAGAUGGCAGUAGACGUAGAUGGCAUCGUUCUGAACUCACUGUGGCCUCAUGCCCCAACCAGCUGGCAGGUAGAGACGCCACAUUAGCUCUUCUUCCUACGCAUGUGUUCAGGUCAGUGUUGUUUCAUAUUUCUUGUAGCAGUUCAAGGCAUUCACGUGGCUUUUCGCUCUGCUGCCUGCUGUAUGUCCCGCAACGGCAUUCACAGAGACGAAUAGGAUGAGUUGUACAACAGAAUCAUUCAAGCGGUAGAACAAUUCUGAAACCCAAGUGGGGAGGAAUUGCUUGCACUUCUCUCAUGGAUUAGCUGAAAAUCCAAUGCAAGUAGUCAGUGGCUAUUCGAUUCAUAACAAACACUGCUGAUGGAAAGAACCAACAGAGAAUAAAAUCGACAAAGGCUAAAGCUGCACAUGGUGAGACUUACUAUUGCCAAGCGCGGACAGGAAAACUAAAAUCCUGGCAAAAUUUGGAUCUGCAAAAUUGGACACAGGAAAAUUGGAUUUCAUAAAAAUAAAAGAUACAGAACACAUUGCACAUUGUCAAAAGUCUAUGAAAGAUGAUAAAUCAAAAGCAACCAAUGAACAAACCCUUGAGAAGGUGAAAAGGCAAAUGGAAAAUAAUUAAUCCUGAUUCAAGUAACUUUUCUAACGCGAAUGCACGAUAUAAAAGUAUCACUGCAUUGUAAAGAAAAAUUUUCAUAAAUUAAAGCGUGGGUAAUAGAAUUCACUUUGGAAAAUUAAUUAAUGUGAAUAAAAUUCUAAUUAAAAUUCUAGGAAAAGCAGGGCUGGAAAUAUGCAGGGCAACAAGAGAUGAAUUGAUUGAUUUUUAAAUAUUUAUUUAUUUUGAGAGAAAGAGAGAGGAGAGAGAGAGAGAGUGAGAGAAAAAGAAUCUUAAGCAGGCUCCACACUGUCAGUGCAGAGCCCCACACAGGGCUUGAUCCCACGACUGUGAGAUCAUGACCCAAACCUAAAUUAAGAGUCAGACACUCAUCUGACCGAGCCACUCAGGUGCCCCAACAAGAGAUUUUUUUUUUAAAUGGCAGAAUUUGCCUCCAGCUGGCUCGUGGGGCAAGUGCAACCUCAAAGAGAAUAAAAGCAAAAAAAUCUCCCUUUGUAAAUGUUGUCUCCUUUGAUCCCACAUCCACUGGUAUCUGGAACUGUCCUUUUAGAACAUUCCAAUGCAGUUAUAGUAGAAUCCGUACAUGUCUAACUAAAUUAACAUUUUAAAACUUUAUUGCAGGAAAAGAAACUUUUAAAAUAAGAUGUUCUUGGGGAACCUGAAUGUCUCAGUCAGUUAAGCAUCCAACUCUUAAUUUUGGUUCAGGUCAUGAUCUCAUGAUUUGUGGGAUGAAGCCCCGUGUCGGGCUCUGUGCUGACAGCAUGGAGCCUGCUUGGGAUUCUCUCUCUACCUCUCUGUGCCCCUCCCCCACUUGCACGUGCUCUCUCUCUCUCUCUCUCUCUCUCUCAAAAUAAACAAACUUUAAAAAAGUGCUUUAAUAACUUAAAAGUGUAUUAAGACUUUGGGACCCUAUAUCUCUUUACACCAUUUUAACUCUGAAUUUUGGUUAAUUCCAUCAUUUUAAUUAUUAUUACAAUUAUUAUUAGAGCUUCUCCAAGACUGAAGUUUGCAAAACCAGUCUGGAUAGAGCAAAGUUGUCACAUCAGAGAUCUGUGUACAUUCAAGAGAGAAAGAGAGUCUUCUGGGUUUAGAAUAAAUUGACUCACUAACAGGAAUGUAGAGGUGGGCAUUGCACUUUGGAGAGCAUUGUUUCUAUUCCAAAUUAUAAAAUUAUAUAUCCCAGUUAAUAUUACCAGAAGCAAUUUCAAUGGUUCCCUUUAGUACAAUAGGUUGUGAGCCUCUCAGGACGUAAUUGGUUGCUAAGGAAAACCAUGAGAAAAUAGACAGAGAUAUAAGAUACGCUCCAAUUUCUCAGAAGUACCUUCUGAUCCAAUCAUACCAACUGUUCCCAGAGCUUAUGGCCUCAUCAUCUUUUAAAAAUCACAUUGCCUUGAAACACCUGUAUCCUAACCCAAACUGCUCUAUUUUUGCAGUAUGUCAUCUGUGAUUACACUUCCUAGUUUUUGGCAUGUCUGUAAGUAGAGUGCAUCAGGCUAACACUGACUAUUCAGGAGCUCCCCCAGAAACAUCUGGAAACUUCUAAAAUCAGGACAAAGAAAUUCCAGUUCCCUUUUGUACUCUCCCUAGAGCUGUCCUUCUGAAUUUAGUUUUUCACCCAAAAGACUCUUCUCUGGGUGUCAUUUCGUUCAGAACCCGCACUGUAGAAUAGGCCAAUAUUUAACAAUAAUAUAGUACAAUCAGCUAAUGUUCAUACAGAAGACUUUCAGGUCAGAAAAUAAAAGGUUGACCUGGAAAGUUCCUUAGAAUCUAGCAGUUUCAAUCUAUUCACUUUACAGACAAAGAAAUUUUAUAGAGAUAUAGAGAUGAGAGAAAAUGAGAUGAAGAAUCCAUACUCUUUUUUACCAUUAGAACAAGGCAUUCGAGAAAACAUAGGGAAAUGAACAGAAAAUUGUAGACCCACCUAGUGUCUAGGAAGAAAACUCCAUGAACCAUCUGUCUUACUGACUACUGUGUCUCUAGUUCCUCACCCAUGCUUGAAACUCAAAAAACUUUGUGUUAUGAAUAAAUGGCAGACUUUAAGUAAAUCACCUAAGUACACACCUAAUUGUGGAGACUAGCAGAAUGGGCAUGUGAAUGGACCUGGAAUGCCUCUCUGGAUUGCCCAUCAACAAGGGAGUGGAGAUUGAUAUUUCUACCUCUUUCAGGUCCUAAAUUCCUUUAGGACCAGAGACAUCUCUUGUUCCAGAGGGAAAGGUUGUUUCCAAACUCAACUUCCCACAAAUUUAGGACCCCCAAGGCCUCCAGGUUCUAGGCCUUUGGCAUUUCCUAGCAAUCCCUUAAACAGCUAGAGUCUAAGGUUAGGCAAGUUGGUAGCUGAGCUCAAAAUAUUUAUUCCCCCGGAGCAGGACUGCGCUCUCACUGAGGGUCCUGAUCUGGAAAGACACUCCACUCCCAUAGACAGGAAGACCAGGAAGUGGGAUAUCCCCUUGGAUCACUGUCCCUGCUGAAUGUCUGUCUCUGCUCUGGCCACAGUGUGCCUUUCUGGGGAUGCCAAGACAAGAGAGCACAUAUCUGUGGAGCCAUCUUUGAGUUUUAUCUUUCUCACAGCUGGUCACCUGACCCCAACUCACAACACCAGAGAUAGUAUAGAAUCGUAGUCAUUUUCAGAACUGGAAGCUAUUCCCAUUUUACAAAUGUGAGAACUAAAGUCCAAAUAAAUGUGUGUCUGGUCAUAAGUCACAUGGUGAGUAAUGGCAGGGUUGGAAGAGCCCCUGCCUUGUCAGAUUGGUUAUGUAGUCACUUAGGUUGAUGAAAGAUGAUUGAUGCCAAUUUUGGGGCCCAUGGAGUGGAAGGGCCUUGACAUAAGCUUUGGAACUACAGCAUCCCUCCCAUGAAUCAUGGAAAGUCUAAUGUCUUCCCAGGAUUUCUGCAAAUUCCUUAUGGGUUUAUAUUCUCAGAAUAAUCUUUGGCACCCAUUUCUGCUGAUUAGUUGAAUUUAGAGAAUUUAGUCUUCAAAUUUCCAGUGGCAUCAUAAGUUUGAUUUGCUUAAAUCAGGAUUCAAAUAAGGUCCACACGUCGUGAUUAGUGGAAAUGUUUCUAAAGUCUUUUUUU